CCGCCUCUUCUUCUUCUUCUUCGUCUGGGUUUUCCUCUCUCGACGGAGCCACAUUCGGCUCAAGCGGAGAGAGGGCGGAGCCGCAUCUGGCUCCGAUCAUCGGUGAUGGGACGCCCCUGUCUCGGGGCCAGAGAGAGAGAGAGGAAUGGGGACUAGGAUGAUCGGGGGCUCGGCGACUGGGUCGCGCUUGGUGGCUGCGAAGGCGAGGCUGAGCAACGACGCCCGGGCGGCGGAUUCGUUUUACACACUUAUGGUGUUGGCUACUGCAUUAUUUGGAAAACCGGCAUUUAGGAAUCUCAUCUGCAAUGGACUAGUUCUUGCUGAGGAUGGGAAAAAGAUGAGCAAGAGCUUAAAAAACUAUCCUUCUCCCUUGAAUGUUAUAAAUGAUUAUGGGGCCGAGGCAUUGCGUUUAUCCUUAAUCAAUUCUCCGGUGAUGCGUGCGCAGGUUUCACGGUUCAAGAAGGAAGGGGUCUAUUGUGUCGUGGUUGUGGUUAAAGUGUCCGGAGGGAGAGGGAGAGGGCGAGAGAGUGAGAGGGAGCUCCCUUUGAGCAACUAACCUUAAAAUACUUAAGUAGCUCGAGGUUGAGCUCGACUUGAAACCAUAUAAAUCUAUCUCAAGUAACCAUCAAGUCGAGCCCAAGCUACUCGCUUUGACAUGGUUCGACCUAGUAACACUGAAUGUGGUUGUGGUUAAAGCGUCCGGAGGGAGAGGGAGAGGGCAAGAGAGCGAGGGAGAGGGAAGGCGAGAGAGAGAGAGAGGGAGGGAGGGAGCUCCCUUUGAGCAACUAACCUUAAGGUGCAUUUGUUUUUCAAAAAAUUUCAUGAUGAAGUAUAAUAUUUUUUAUGAAAAUCAUUUUUAAGAAAAAUGGUUAGUUUUCAUUUAUUUUAUUUUUUUCUUAGCAGAAGGGGACGGUUUUUUCAAUCUAAACUUGUGGUUUUCAAUCCAUGGAAAACAUUUUUCCAUAGAUCAAUUAAUUUUUUGUCAAACGGACUCUUAAUUAUAGGUAGCUUAUAGCUCUAAAAAUAUAUGUUAAACCAAUUUGUCUAUGCAACUAUAUUAGUUAACUAAUGUUCCUUAGUAGAUUUUUCAACAUUAAGUUCGACACUAGAUUCUGACAAA